UACGUAGGGUGCAGGCGUUAAUCGGAAUUACUGGGCGUAAAGCGUGCGCAGGCGGUUAUGCAAGACAGAUGUGAAAUCCCCGGGCUUAACCUGGGAACCGCAUUUGUGACUGCAUAGCUGGAGUACGGCAGAGGGGGAUGGAAUUCCGCGUGUAGCAGUGAAAUGCGUAGAUAUGCGGAGGAACACCGAUGGCGAAGACAGUCCCCUGGGCCUGUACUGACGCUCAUGCACGAAAGCGUGGGGAGCAAACAGG
rnacentral:rRNA from 1 species